rnacentral:misc_RNA from 1 species
GAAAUGCGAUAAGUAAUGUGAAUUGCAGAAUUCAGUGAAUCAUCGAAUCUUUGAACGCAUCUUGCGCUCCUUGGUAUUCCGAGGAGCAUGCCUGUUUGAGUGUCAUUUAAACUCUCAAACCACAUCAUUCGUUUGACGUGGCUUUGGACGUGGGGGUUGCCGGCUUUCUUCUCAGAGAGCCCUGCUCCCCUGAAAUGCAUUAGUGGUAUCUGGAGUGGAAAACCGCUAGGUGUGAUAAUACUGUCUAUGCCUUUGGUUAUGCCACAAUGUGCUGCUUCCAACCACAUUUUAUUUUGACAAACUUGACCUCAAAUCAGGUAGGACUACCCGCUGAACUUAA